UGGGGAGAGAUCUGGCUGUGACGUCUGUCACGCUCUGGCUUGUCGGGACCCAUCCUCCUGGUCUGGCUGUCAGGGUGGGUGCCCCUGUCCUCACCCUAUUAUGGCACCCUUGGGGAAACCGAGCGCUCAGGGAACGUCUUUUCUAGAGAACUGUUCUUCAGUCAGGGGUGAAUGAGUCAUUUUUCUCUCUCGUUAUCUCCAGACAAAGCAGCUACUUUAUUAUGCAUUCCACCGUAAAACACAUGCUUGUCAUCUAGUG
rnacentral:sRNA from 1 species